rnacentral:rRNA from 1 species
GAUGAACGCUGGCGGCGUGCCUAAUACAUGCAAGUCGAGCGGACGGACGCGAAGCUUGCUUCUCUGAUGUUAGCGGCGGACGGGUGAGUAACACGUGGAUACCCUGCCUAUAAGACUGGGAUAACUUCGGGAAACCGGAGCUAAUACCGGAUGAUAUUUUGAACCGCAUGGUUCAAAAGUGAAAGACGGUCUUGCUGUCACUUAUAGAUGGAUCCGCGCUGCAUUAGCUAGUUGGUAAGGUAACGGCUUACCAAGGCAACGAUGCAUAGCCGACCUGAGAGGGUGAUCGGCCACACUGGAACUGAGACACGGUCCAGACUCCUACGGGAGGCAGCAGUAGGGAAUCUUGCGCAAUGGGCGAAAGCCUGACGGAGCAACGCCGCGUGAGUGAUGAAGGUCUUCGGAUCGUAAAACUCUGUUAUUAGGGAAGAACAUAUUUGUAAGUAACUGUGCACAGCUUGACGGUACCUAAUCAGAAAGCCACGGCUAACUACGUG